AUGUAUUUUAGAAGAAAAUAUACUCUGGAUUUAAAAAAAAUAGUCAGAAGUACUCUGAAUAUCCUACCAAAAAAUGCUGAGUUAAAAAUCUCUGUA